rnacentral:rRNA from 1 species
AUAGCCUAACGGCUGAACCAGCAACUUGGAGGAAUGUAUAGCAAUUGCUAGUUGCACUAAAGGUUUUAGUGUAAAAUCAAUUUAGUUGAAUAAAAUUCUGGGUGGAAUUAUGAUAAUGACAUAAUCUGUUCAUAAGUCUUGACCAAAUUACGUGCCAGCAGUCGCGGUAAUACGUAGAAGACAAGUGUUAUUCAUCUUUAAUAGGUUUAAAGGGUACUUAGACGGUAAAUCAAGCCUUAAUAAGGGACUAAUUUGCUAGAGUUUUAUGUGAAAAAGUAUUAAAGUACUGCUGGUGUAGAGAUGAAAUUCUGUCAUACCUUGAAUGGCACAGGUUAAGGCGAAAGCAUCUUUUUAUGUAAAAACUGACGUUGAAGGACGAAGGCUUUGUGUCUCGAACAGGAUUAGAUACCCUAGUAGUCUAAGCAGACAAUGAUGAAUGUCAUAGAUUAGAUAGAAUUUGAUCUAUAAAUGAAAAUGUAAGCAUUCCACCUCAAGAGUAAUUUGGCAACAUUGGAACUGAAAUCAUUAGACCGUUUCUGAAAACAGUAGUGAAGUAUGUUGUUUAAUUUGAUAAUCCGCAAAAAACCUUACCACUUUAAUAUGAAUAGAUAUAUUUUAUCAUACAAGCGUUGCACGGCUGUCUUCAGUUAAUGUCGUGAGACUUUGGUUAGUUCCAUAAAAUUAACGUAAACCCUUACUUUAUUUACUUAUAAAGUAGAUCACCGCUAUAUUGGACAUGAUAAUAGGGAUCAAGACAAGUCAUCAUGACCUAAAUAUUGU